UUCUAAAAUGGCAGAAUAGUGCAUUGGAUUUAAACCCCAAAUAUAAAGAAUUUCUUUUUUUAGAA
rnacentral:tRNA from 3 species